UUAAAAUGGAAUUGGAUACCGCUCUUGGUUUAUCUGUUCGAGUAAUAUAUUUGUAAUGUAAAAAUAUACAUUCCUUAUGAUGUUUUGUAUUUCUUUUACAUACACAGGAGCUUUUGUGCCAACGUUUGCUAACAGAUCCUUAGAAGGAGUUAAAGCUGUCUUUAGUUUGAAGGUAUGUAACAAUGCUAGUUAAUUAUGUUUUUAUUAUUUCUAUGUUGAGAAAUCAAAUUAUCAUUUAAAUGGGUGUCCUUGAAAAUAUAUAUGUGCAAUGCAAGGUUAAUUGACAGGAACCAAGUGAUACAUAAUGACUUUGAUGAUAAGCUUAUUUGCUUAUAAUAUAUGAAUUUGCAGGUUUGUACUACAUUUCCUUUCUCUUUUCAGUUCUCCACUCGUUAUAUAAAUAACCUCUUGAUAAUGCAAGACUGAUAAUGCUAUUAUUUUCGCUUUGCUGGUACUAAUAGAUAAUGCUAUUACUUUCACGUUCUAGGUACAAAAAUAAUUUAUGUUAUGUAGUAUAGUGUAGCAAAAUUAUUACAAAAUUUUGCACUUUGUAGAUUUGGAAGUUACUGGGUUCAUCAUGUCAAGCAGGCUUAGAUAUCACAGACUAAUUGGGGUUUUGCUAUAGGAAUAUCAUUCUCCAGCACAGGACAUUACUCGCUAAAGCAUUCUCACAAUUUGGCAAAAUUAUAUAAGGUAAUCCUAAUUAUUUUUUCCCAUAAAUUUUGAACUAUGGAUUCUCUUUAUGUAUCAUCUUAGAAUAUGUUUACAAUUGUAGUUAACAUAGUAAGGGAUAGCCAACAAUAUAUUACAGGGUUAUGGUUACGUGACUUUUUCUACUGAAGAUGAAGCUAAAGAGGCUUUGAUCCAGAUGAAUGAGGAGGUAAACUAAUUUCAAUUUUUAGUCUGGAUUAAUUUAGUUUAAUUUGUAGUCUUUCAUCCAAUGUGCAGAGCUAGUGUGCUAUAAAGCCUACAAUUAUAAUGAGAUCACCAAAGUCUUGAAGUCUAGUGGCAUACAUGUGUGUAUAUAAUGAUGGUCGAGGGUCAAUUCCAUUGGAGUAUCGCCUAAAGUGCCGCGACUGCUUCAUGAAUGAAAGAUAAAAUGAUUUUCUAGUUUUGUCACAAGAGAUUUUAGUUUUUUUUUUUCCAACAAUGUCUUGUGUUAGAUUGACAUUAUUUAUGUAGCACGUUUCAGCAUUAAUGAAAUUUAUAAUUUUUCAUA